CUCACGGACUCACGGCAGGGACGGUGAAAGAGACUACCAUACGAGAGAUGAAUACCAAUAGACUUGUCCCUCCUCCUCCUCCUCCUCCGUAGCUCCGACUGAACGGUGCAGUGGCGGGAUGGCGCGCGGAUAAUAAACUAUGCGGGGGCAUUUCAUUAUAAAACACUCGCUAGAUUUAGUUUUCACCACCUUACAUCCGAUAACAAAGACCCCGUGAAAAUGUAUCUUCGAUGUUACGACCCUUCCCACGAACCGGCUAAUACCAAUGUUUUGAAUCAUAAACGUACAGCAUAAUGCCUUUGGACACGCGCACGCACGUGAGCGCGCAGGGGAAAGCUUUAAGUAAACCCAGAGCCAUAUAGAGUGAGAGUUGCGACAACUCCAUUGACUCCAAUGGAACGCUUUUUUUACAGCAAUGGCGGCUCGUGGAGCCUCUCAAUAGUUCCCGGAAGUAGCGGCAAACCGAUGCCGCGCCGUAGAAGAUGCAGCAGAACAAACCGUUUGCAACGCACUUUUAACAGGUCUAGGGGUGCAUCGUGGAGCAGGGCCCUCCUCUUUUUGACCACAGGACGGUGUACAAAGAUUGUGGGAAUAGCAUCUGCUGGGAAGAUAUACAUUCGCACACCUUUCUCUGACUGAGUGGAGCAUCCCCAUGCAGCACAGUAAACCACGGUGGAGACUUUGCAAGGACAACAUGAAAGAAAGGACACAUACAAAAUGCUUGUCAUGCUAUUAAAUUUAUUAGAAAUGUA